GAGUACUCAGCAACAGUUCAUUCUCAAUAUUUCAUGUUCCCAUGUCUUUCUCUUUCUCUAUCUCAAAAAAGUCUCAAAGGAGCUGCUUGCUCCAUCGCACGGGAGACGGCAGAGUCAGUACAAAACACAAAAAACCAUCAUCAUACUACUCUUCUCACCUUCCUCUCUCUCUCUCUCGCUCUAACAUCAGUUUUCCCCUAACUCACGCAAAAUUUCUUCAAAUCGUAAAUUAAACCAAGAACCCUAGAAUGUGAAAACUAAAGUUAAAUGAGGUCAAAGAGGAAUCAGAGCCUGAUAACUUAGAUCUUUGAUUCCUCGCUCCUGAAGCUACAUUAUGGUGCCAAAAAGUAAGCUAACAAGGGAAGAAUUGGAAAGUGUCACCAACCUGCAAGAUAAAGACUUGUCUUGGAAGGUGUUGAAGCUUGAAGAUGAUGAAGAUGAAGAAAACCAGAGGAUCCUCAAUGUAGGCAGAUGUGCAUAUGGUAGUAAUAGACUAGGCUUUGCAUGGAAUAACAUCAAGGCGUCAAGAUUUAGCAUGGCAUGAAAGAGACUUAUCAUGGCAUAAUGCCCAUGAAAAGGUUUUGGAGCACAACUUGAAUAAAUUCGAGGACUUCAUGAAGGAUCAAGAGAAAAGUAGGUUUAGAGGAUGUUUAGGAUAAUUAGUUGACUUUGGUCAACUGCUUGACCAAAAAGCCAAAAGUUUACCAAAAGUCAAAUGUAGGUUAAAAGAUGUAAUUUUUUUUGUGUAAUUUGAUUAUUGACUCCUUUUGUAAUGAAAUUGAUGUUUUUGAAAUGGAAAAUGGCAUUUUGAAUGAA